AACAAGCUGAGUUCCUGGAAAACAACAAUCACAGAGAGACAGUCCACCACCUCUACCCUCUUAACUCUUCCUUAGAAAUCCUACUGUCUGCAGCUGGGAAUGAAUGGAAUGAAGGUCAAGGAUGAAACAGGAUCUCACUCUGUUACCCAGGGUGGAGUGCAGGGGCAUGAACACGGAUCACUGCAGCUUCGACUUCCUGGCUCAAGCAAUCCUUCCACUUCCUGGCUCAAGCAAUCCUUCCACCUCAGCCUCCUAGGUACUGGGAUUACACUAACUGCAUCCUGGGCAAUAUCCCCAGCUGAAAGAUUACGCUUCCCAGCCUUCCUUGCAGCUAGACGUAGCCAUAUGACAAAAUGACGCCCAAUGAAGCAUACAUAGAAAAGUCAUGUGAGACUUCUGGAAAAGCUUCUGUAAAAGUGAGGAGCAGACACCCUUUUCUUUUUCUUCUCCUUUCUCUUGCUGUUGGCCUGGAAUGUGGACCUGAUGGAUGGAGCUCUGGCAAUCAUCUUGGAGUAUGAAGUGACCUUAAGGAUGAACAGAAAAGAAAAUGAGCCUGGGCCUUUAAUGACACAGUGGAGCUGCUCCCAGCUUGGCUACCUUCCUCUUAGUCUGCUUUUAUAAGAAAAUAUAUAUAUAUCUUGUUUAAGCACAAAUAUUUUGAGUUUUUCUGCUGUUUGUUGCUAAAAGUAAUUCUAAUUGUUCCAUAAGCCUUCUAG
rnacentral:lncRNA from 1 species